GAUGAACGCUGGCGGCGUGCCUAAUACAUGCAAGUCGAGCGAAUGGAUUAGGAGCUUGCUCUUAUGAAGUUAGCGGCGGACGGGUGAGUAACACGUGGGUAACCUGCCCAUAAGACUGGGAUAACUCCGGGAAACCGGGGCUAAUACCGGAUAACAUUUUGAACCGCAUGGUUCGAAAUUGAAAGGCGGCUUCGGCUGUCACUUAUGGAUGGACCCGCGUCGCAUUAGCUAGUUGGUGAGGUAACGACUCACCAAGGCAACGGUGCGUAGCCGACCUGAGAGGGUGAUCGGCCACACUGGGACUGAGACACGGCCCAGACUCCUACGGGAGGCAGCAGUAGGGAAUCUUCCGCAAUGGACGAAAGUCUGACGGAGCAACGCCGCGUGAGUGAUGAAGGCUUUCGGGUCGUAAAACUCUGUUGUUAGGGAAGAACAAGUGCUAGUUGAAUAAGCUGGCACCUUGACGGUACCUAACCAGAAAGCCACGGCUAACUACGUGCCAGCCGCCGCCGUAA
rnacentral:rRNA from 1 species